rnacentral:piRNA from 1 species
CAGUUACUCAGUACCACACCGCAAGCAGG